UACGUAGGGUCCGAGCGUUGUCCGGAAUUAUUGGGCGUAAAGGGCUCGUAGGCGGUCUGUUGCGUCGGGAGUGAAAACUUACAGCUUAACUGUGAGCGUGCUUUCGAUACUGCCGUGCUUGAGGACUGGAGAGGAGACUGGAAUUUACGGUGUAGCGGUGAAAUGCGUAGAUAUCGUAAGGAAGACCAGUGGCGAAGGCGGGUCUCUGGACAGUUCCUGACGCUGAGGCACGAAGGCCAGGGGAGCAAACGGG
rnacentral:rRNA from 1 species